rnacentral:lncRNA from 1 species
GCUUAAAGACCUCUAGUCAAUAGGAACCAACUGAAAUACUUUGGAAUUGCUCAAAUGGACUUCACUUGACAAAAAGAUGGAACAUGAUAAAUGUUAAUUGACUGCCUGGCAGGAUGAAUCCCUGAAUCAUUAGAGGUCAGUAGUAAUA